rnacentral:rRNA from 1 species
AGCCUGAACGCUGGCGGCGUGGCUAAGACAUGCAAGUCGUACGGGGUAGCAAUACCCAGUGGCGAACGGGUGAGUAAUGUAUCGCUAACGUGCCCCCGAGUCAGGGAUAGCUGCCCGAAAGGGCAGGUAAUACCUGAUGAGACCACGACCGGGCAUCCGGUAGUGCUCAAAGCAGCAAUGCGC